rnacentral:rRNA from 1 species
GACGAACGCUGGCGGCGUGCUUAACACAUGCAAGUCGAACGGUGAAGGGGAGCUUGCUCCCCGGAUCAGUGGCGAACGGGUGAGUAACACGUGGGCAACCUGCCCCAGACUUCGGGAUAACGCUUCGAAAGAGGUGCUAAUACCGGAUACGAACUCCUUGGGCAUCCUGGGAGUUGGAAAGUUUUUCGGUCUGGGAUGGGCCCGCGGCCUAUCAGCUAGUUGGUGAGGUAACGGCGCACCAAGGCGACGACGGGUAGCCGGCCUGAGAGGGCGACCGGCCACACUGGGACUGAGACACGGCCCAGACUCCUACGGGAGACAGCAGUGGGGAAUAUUGCGCAAUGGGCGAAAGCCUGACGCAGCAACGCCGCGUGAGGGAUGACGGCCUUCGGGUUGUAAACCUCUUUCAGCAGGGAAGAAGCGAAAGUGACGGUACCUGCAGAAGAAGCACCGGCUAACUACGUGCCAGCAGCCGCCGUAACAC